UACGUAGGGGGCAAGCGUUGUCCGGAAUCAGUGGGCGUAAAGCGCGUGUAGGCGGCUAGGUAAGUCUGCUCUGAAAGCCCGGGGCUCAACCCCGGGAGGCGGGUGGAUACUGUCUAGCUCGAGUCCGGAAGAGGAGUGUGGAAUUCCUGGUGUAGCGGUGAAAUGCGCAGAUAUCAGGAGGAACACCAAUGGCGAAGGCAGCACUCUGGGACGUGACUGACGCUGAGACGCGAAAGCGUGGGGAGCAAACAGG
rnacentral:rRNA from 1 species